rnacentral:rRNA from 1 species
UACGAAGGGGGCUAGCGUUGCUCGGAAUCACUGGGCGUAAAGGGUGCGUAGGCGGGUCUUAAGUCAGGGGUGAAAUCCUGGAGCUCAACUCCAGAACUGCCUUUGAUACUGAAGAUCUUGAGUCGGGAGAGGUGAGUGGAACUGCGAGUGUAGAGGUGAAAUUCGUAGAUAUUCGCAAGAACACCAGUGGCGAAGGCGGCUCACUGGCCCGAUACUGACGCUGAGGCACGAAAGCGUGGGGAGCAAACAGG